rnacentral:rRNA from 1 species
GACGAACGCUGGCGGCGUGCCUAACACAUGCAAGUCGAACGGAGUUAAGACUUCGGUUUUAACUUAGUGGCGAACGGGUGAGUAACGCGUGAGAAACCUGCCUUUCAGUGGGGGACAACAGUUGGAAACGACUGCUAAUACCGCAUAAUGUCAUUUGGGGGCAUCCCUGAAUGACCAAAGAUUUAUUGCUGAAAGAUGGUCUCGCGUCUGAUUAGCUAGAUGGCGGGGUAACGGCCCACCAUGGCGACGAUCAGUAGCCGGUCUGAGAGGAUGAACGUCCACAUUGGGACUGAGAUACGGCCCAGACUCCUACGGGAGGCAGCAGUGGGGAAUAUUGGGCAAUGGGGGAAACCCUGACCCAGCAACGCCGCGUGAAGGAAGAAGGCCUUCGGGUUGUAAACUUCUUUUACCAGGGACGAACAAAUGACGGUACCUGGAGAAAAAGCAACGGCUAACUACGUGCCAGCCGCCGCGGUAAAAC